GAGGAUCGCUGGCGGCGUGCUUAACACAUGCAAGUCGAACGGUAAGGCCCUUCGGGGUACACGAGUGGCGAACGGGUGAGUAACACGUGGGUGAUCUGCCCUGCACUUCGGGAUAAGCCUGGGAAACUGGGUCUAAUACCGGAUAGGACUCCUGGCUUCAUGGUUGGGGGUGGAAAGCUUUUGCGGUGUGGGAUGGGCCCGCGGCCUAUCAGCUUGUUGGUGGGGUAAUGGCCUACCAAGGCGACGACGGGUAGCCGGCCUGAGAGGGUGACCGGUCACACUGGGACUGAGAUACGGCCCAGACUCCUACGGGAGGCAGCAGUGGGGAAUAUUGCACAAUGGGCGCAAGCCUGAUGCAGCGACGCCGCGUGAGGGAUGACGGCCUUCGGGUUGUAAACCUCUUUCAGCUAUGACGAAGCGCAAGAGACGGUAGUAGCAGAAGAAGGACCGGCCAACUACGUGCCAGCAGCCGCAGUAA
rnacentral:rRNA from 1 species